CGACAAGGGUUGACCUCUGAUGCGGGCAGGGUAUACCCGCUGAACUUAAGCAUAU
rnacentral:rRNA from 1 species